UGAAUACGAGAUGCUACGGCGUCGAAGCAGUGUAUGUCAGACUUCCAAGAAAAGCUCGCAAUGUCAUAAAUAAAGAAUGCCUGUACCAUAACCGACACAGGUGGGUAGGUAGAGUAUACUAAGGGGCGCGAGAUAACUCUCUCUAAGGAACUCGGCAAAAUAACUCCGUAACUUCGGGAGAAGGAGUGCCUUCUUUAAGAAGGUUGCAAUAACAAGAUCCAAGCAACUGUUUAUCAAAAACACAGGUCUCCGCUAAGUCGUAAGACGAUGUAUGGGGGCUGACGCCUGCCCAGUGCCAGAAGGUUAAAGAAGCUGGUUAGCAAUAGCGAAGCUGGUGACUGAAGCCCUGGUGAACGGCGGCCGUAACUAUAACGGUCCUAAGGUAGCGAAAUUCCUUGUCGGGUAAGUUCCGACCCGCACGAAAGGCGUAAUGAUUUGGAUACUGUCUCGGAGAGGGACUCGGUGAAAUAGACUUGUCUGUGAAGAUGCGGACUACCUGCACCAGGACAGAAAGACCCUAUGAAGCUUUACUGUAACCUGAAAUUGAAAUUGGACUUUAUUUGCGCAGUAUAGGUGGGAGGCGUUGAAAGUAAUCUUGCGGGAUUAGUGGAGCCAUCAGUGAGAUACCACUCCUAUAAUGUUAGAUUUCUAACUUUGGAUCAUGAUCUGGUCAAAGAACAGUUUCAGGCGGGCAGUUUGACUGGGGCGGUCGCCUCCCAAAUGGUAACGGAGGCGUACAAAGGUUUCCUCUGAACGGGUAGAAAUCGUAUCUAGAGUGUAAAGGCAUAAGGAAGCUUGACUGUGAGACCUACAAGUCGAGCAGGGACGAAAGUCGGUCUUAGUGAUCUGACGGUGCUGAGUGGAAAGGCCGUCACUCAACGGAUAAAAGUUACUCUAAGGAUAACAGGCUGAUCUCCCCCAAGAGUUCACAUCGACGGGGAGGUUUGGCACCUCGAUGUCGGCUCAUCGCAUCCUGGGGCGGUAGUACGUCCCAAGGGUUGGGCUGUUCGCCCAUGAAAGCGGUACGCGAGCUGGGUUCAGAACGUCGUGAGACAGUUCGGUCCAUAUCCGGUGUAGGCGUUAGAAUAUUGAGAGGAGCCUUCUCUAGUACGAGAGGACCGAGAAGGACAUACCUCUGGUGUACCAGUUAUCGUGCCAACGGUAAACGCUGGGUAGCUAUGUAUGGAGAGGAUAACCGCUGAAAGCAUCUAAGUGGGAAGCCCACCUCAAGAUGAGUAUUCUCAC
rnacentral:rRNA from 1 species